rnacentral:rRNA from 1 species
AGUGAACGCUGGCGGUAGGCCUAACACAUGCAAGUCGAACGGCAGCACAGUAAGAGCUUGCUCUUACGGGUGGCGAGUGGCGGACGGGUGAGGAAUACAUCGGAAUCUACUUUUUCGUGGGGGAUAACGUAGGGAAACUUACGCUAAUACCGCAUACGACCUACGGGUGAAAGUAGGGGAUCUUCGGACCUUGCGCGAUUGAAUGAGCCGAUGUCGGAUUAGCUAGUUGGCGGGGUAAAGGCCCACCAAGGCGACGAUCCGUAGCUGGUCUGAGAGGAUGAUCAGCCACACUGGAACUGAGACACGGUCCAGACUCCAACGGGAGGCAGCAGUGGGGAAUAGUGGACAAUGGGCGCAAGCCUGAUCCAGCCCUACCGCGUGGGUGAAGAAGGCCUUCGGGUUGUAAAGCCCUUUUGUUGGGAAAGAAAAGCAGCAGGUUAAUACCCCGCUGUUCUGACGGUACCCAAAGAAUAAGCACCGGCUAACUUCG